rnacentral:rRNA from 1 species
UACGUGGGGGGCAAGCGUUGUUCGGAAUUACUGGGCGUAAAGGGCUCGUAGGCGGCCAACUAAGUCGGAUGUGAAAUCCCCAGGCUUAACCUGGGAACUGCAUCCGAUACUGGAUGGCUUGAAUCCGGGAGAGGGAUGCGGAAUUCCAGGUGUAGCGGUGAAAUGCGUAGAGAUCGGGAGGAACAUCAGUGGCGAAGGCGGCCAUCUGGGACAACACUGACGCUGAGGCACGAAAGCGUGGGGAGCAAACAGG